AGUUUAUACCUUUAGUAGAAGCACUUGAAAUCCAGCUUUAAAUCAUGAUUUUAAAGCUGGAUUACAAGUGUGUCUACUAAAGGUAUAAAC
rnacentral:miRNA from 1 species